GACGAACGCUGGCGGCGUGCCUAAUACAUGCAAGUUGAGCGCUGAAGGUUGGUACUUGUCCCAACUGGAUGAGCAGCGGACGGGUGAGUAACGCGUGGGGCAUCUGCCUUUGAGCGGGGGACAACAUUUGGAAACGAAUGCUAAUACCGCAUAAAACCUUUAAACACAAGUUUUAAGUUUGAAAGAUGCAUUUGCAUCACUCAAAGAUGAUCCCGCGUUUUAUUAGCUAGUUGGUGAGGUAAAGGCUCACCAAGGCGAUGAUACAUAGCCGACCUGAGAGGGAGAACGGCCACAUUGGGACUGAGACACGGCCCAAACCCCUACGGGAGGCAGCAGUAGGGAAUCUUCGGAAAUGGAGGAAAGUCUGACCGAGCAACGCCGCGGGAGUGAAGAAGGGUUUCGGAUCGUAAAACUCUGUUGGUAGAGAAGAACGUUGGUGAGAGUGGAAAGCUCAUCAAGUGACGGUAACUACCCAGAAAGGGACGGCUAACUACGUG
rnacentral:rRNA from 1 species